AGUUUGAUCCUGGCUCAGAUUGAAUGCUGGCGGCAGGCCUAACACAUGCAAGUCGAACGGUAGCACAGAGAGCUUGCUCUUGGGUGACGAGUGGCGGACGGGUGAGUAAUGUCUGGGAAACUGCCCGAUGGAGGGGGAUAACUACUGGAAACGGUAGCUAAUACCGCAUAACGUCGCAAGACCAAAGAGGGGGACCUUCGGGCCUCUUGCCAUCAGAUGUGCCCAGAUGGGAUUAGCUAGUAGGUGGGGUAAUGGCUCACCUAGGCGACGAUCCCUAGCUGGUCUGAGAGGAUGACCAGCCACACUGGAACUGAGACACGGUCCAGACUCCUACGGGAGGCAGCAGUGGGGAAUAUUGCACAAUGGGCGCAAGCCUGAUGCAGCCAUGCCGCGUGUAUGAAGAAGGCCUUCGGGUUGUAAAGUACUUUCAGCGGGGAGGAAGGUGUUGCGGUUAAUAACCGCAGCAAUUGACGUUACCCGCAGAAGAAGCACCGGCUAACUCCGUGCCAGCAGCCGCGGUAA
rnacentral:rRNA from 1 species